CAGCAGCCGCGGUAAUACAUAGGGGGCAAGCGUUAUCCGGAAUUAUUGGGCGUAAAGGGUGCGUAGGCGGUAAGUUAAGUUUAAAGUAUAAGCUCAUGGCUCAACCAUGGGAGGCUUUAAAAACUGGCAAACUAGAGUACAGUAGAGGCAAGUGGAAUUCCAUGUGUAGCGGUAAAAUGCGUAAAUAUAUGGAGGAACACCAGUGGCGAAGGCGGCUUGCUGGGCUGUAACUGACGCUGAGGCACGAAAGCGUGGGGAGCAAACAGGAUUAGAUACCCUGGUAGUCCACGCCGUAAACGAUGAGCAUUAAGUGUUGGAAUAAUUCAGUGCUGAAGCUAACGUAUUAAAUGCUCCGCCUGAGUAGUACGUGCGCAAGCAUGAAACUCAAAGGAAUUGACGGGACCCCGCACAAGCGGUGGAUCAUGUUGUUUAAUUCGAGGAUACGCGAAGAACCUUACCAGGCCUUGACAUCUUCUGCGAAGCUAUAGAGAUAUAGUGGAGGUUAACAGAAUGACAGGUGGUGCAUGGCC
rnacentral:rRNA from 1 species